rnacentral:rRNA from 1 species
UACGGAGGGUGCAAGCGUUAUCCGGAUUCACUGGGUUUAAAGGGUGCGUAGGUGGAGUGGUAAGUCAGUGGUGAAAUCUCCAAGCUUAACUUGGAACUGCCGUUGAUACUAUCAUUCUUGAAUAUCGUGGAGGUAAGCGGAAUAUGUCAUGUAGCGGUGAAAUGCUUAGAUAUGACAUAGAACACCGAUUGCGAAGGCAGCUUGCUACACGAUCAUUGACACUGAGGCACGAAAGCGUGGGGAGUCAAACAGG